AACCUUCCUUUAAGUGGGGAAUAGCCCAGAGAAAUUUGGAUUAAUACCCCGUAACAUUAUUGAUGUGGCAUCACAUUAUAAUUAUAGAUUUAUCGCUUAGAGAUGGCUGUGCGGCUGAUUAGAUAGUUGGUGAGGUAACGGCUCACCAAGUCUGCGAUCAGUAACUGGUGUGAGAGCACGACCAGUCACACGGGCACUGAGACACGGGCCCGACUCCUACGGGAGGCAGCAGUAAGGAAUAUUGGUCAAUGGACAAAAGUCUGAACCAGCCAUGCCGCGUGAAGGAUGAAGGUCCUCUGGAUUGUAAACUUCUUUUAUCUGGGACGAAACACUCUUAUU
rnacentral:rRNA from 1 species